rnacentral:lncRNA from 1 species
UGCAUUUUCUUGCUACCUCCUCUAAUUAUAGUGAAGAAGUACAAGUAUAUUCUGUUUAAUAUUUCUAAAAUCCAAGAGAGAUCGAUUUGUUCUGAUCUUUCUGCCAGCUUAAACUUCCUCACAGAAGAAUGCUUUAUGUCUAGCUCACACGCCCUUUAUCCUGGGUUUUACAGGUUUUUUUAGAUGCAUUGUCCCCAUAUACAGAUGAGGAGACAGCCUGUGAUACAACCACAUGCGAUUUUGAAGAUCAGGAAUGAAGUCUCGUUUUGACACCAACGGAGGCCGCCCUUGCUGCUACGACCCGAUCCUAUUCUCUGUAAGUGGGAGUUUUCAGGCAGUUUCCACAGUGGACUACAAAGGCCAGGAAAAUAGUGCAUCUUAAUCCAGUCCUGGGUCUGCAAAAUGGAGCACAAUCACUGAGAAAGCAACCCCAGCUGGUCACUGGGUUCCUGCUCUCCGACAGCAAAAUGGAGAGGAGCCGAGCUAUAAAAUGCCAGGUGAGUGUAAUUAGCUUGUUCCCGCUAAAGAUAAACCCCAGCUUUAUCUAAUUUUGUUUUUAACAGAUCUUUGAAAGUGCCAGCAAAGCAACGGACGUAAGGGAAUCUAGGAAAAGCUGUAAGAAGAAGGUGGUGGAUGAGCUAUGGAGCCUUUAAAGCUUGGGAAAUUGAAGUGUUAGUGCCUGCACCAGCUUGGACUUCUGAUGAGGCUUCUGCAAGCCUAAUUGGUUAUCCCAGACAUUUUCCUCAACUCAGUAGAAGUCUCUCAGCAGAAUUAUUUCCAUAAAAGCCUCAGUAGCGACUGACUGUGUGCUACCCUGUCGCAUGUGAGAAUGCUACAAGUGAUACACUGACAAACUUAUAAAACAGAGGAAUGCAGCAAGCCUGUUGUUACCUUAUAUGCUGCAUGCAUCUAUGCAUAGAUAAUGUAUAACAAACAUAACGCUGCCUUACAUUAACAGCAUGAUGGCCCAAUAAUGUGGGACAGCAAACAUCAUCUCCUGAGAAUAUUUUGCUGGUGCUGAGACAUUUAAAUGAGAAGAUGCAGAUCCCUGAGGCUGAACAUAAAAUAUUUAUAUGAAGAGACCGUGGACCAAUAAACUUCGGUUAUAAAUGUUUACA